CCUCGAUGAUGAGUUGCCAUGCUAAUACUGAGCCACCAGGUGGGGGCAGUGUUGCCCUACUUGGGUGCCAGUGAGUUAAACAAAACUUCUCAUGUGGAGACCUGAGAGGC